UUCUUUUGAUUUUGAUUAUUUUGAUUUUAUUUUUCAACCCUCCUUUUUUUUUUUUACAUUGUAAUGCCCUAGUUUGAUUGUUUUGCUGAUUCUCAGGAUACAGCUGAAUGAUCUUCUUUUCAUACUCAAGAAGAUGGGUAAUCUCAUCAGGAAUCCCCUCAACAUCAUCUUCCUCUACUUCGAAUACAGGGAAUUCAAAAUUGGGAGAUGGCGUUGGAUCAAUAUGUUCAAUGGGUUUUAG
rnacentral:lncRNA from 1 species